GAUGAAGAACGUAGCGAAAUGCGAUAAGUAAUGUGAAUUGCAGAAUUCAGUGAACCAUCGAAUCUUUGAACGCACAUUGUGCCCGGCAGUAAUCUGCCGGGCAUGCCUGUCCGAGCGUCAUUUCUGCCCUCGAGCGAGUCCAGCAUCUAGGUGCUGGGCCCGCCCGGCGUUGGGGCACUACGGGAAGCCCUGUGCUGUCCCCCGUAGGCCCCGAAAUGAAGUGGCGGUCCUGCCGCGGCGCCCCCUGCGUAGUAUAACAGCUCGCUUCGGGACCCGGUGGAGGCCUGCCGUCAAACCUUACUCUCUAAGUUUGACCUCGGAUCAGGUAGGGUUACCCGCUGAACUUAAGCAUAUCAAUAAGCGGAGGA
rnacentral:misc_RNA from 1 species